GAUUAAGUGUCGUAAGGGCAUUUGGUGGAUGCCUUGGCAUGCACAGGCGAUGAAGGACGUGAUACGCUGCGAAAAGCCGUGGGGAGCUGCGAAUGAGCUUUGAUCCAUGGAUCUCCGAAUGGGGCAACCCACCUUAAAUGCUUGGGAAUCUGGCGCCGCAGGCGCCGCGAAUA
rnacentral:rRNA from 1 species